rnacentral:lncRNA from 1 species
UGAUUAAUUAAUAAAAAAGUGACAGACCUUAAUCUCUUUUAGAGUACAACGGUUGUUUCACAUGGUAUCAGAGAAAAAGGUUCUUAGUUCGAGUCACACCAGGCUCCUAGCAUAUUAAUUUCCUUCUAUUUAAUUCAAAUCCACGUCAUGGGCCGACUAAAAAAGUCUCGAGCCCAGACGUGAGGGGGAAUUUUAAAUAUAAAAAUGUUUAAACACGCAGACAUGAGGGGGAGUGUUAAAUAUAAAAAUAUUUAAACACCAUUCUCUAACAGACUAAGCUUUUAGAGUACAACAGUUGUUUCACACUCACAUCUCUUUGGGACUUCCCCACUACUAAACAAUAAAAGAAUUUUGAUGAUUAACAAACAACAAGCUAGAUA